AUUUACAAUAGUCAAAUUCAUAGAGACAGAGAGUAGAAUGAAGGUUGACAGAAGCUAGGGGGAGUGGGGAAUGGGAAGUUACUUCUUAGUCGAUAUAGAAUUUCAGUUUUACAAAAUGAAGAGUUCAGAGUUCCAGAGCCUGGUUGCCCAACAAUGUGAAUGCAUUUAAUACCACCGAACUGCAGGCUUACAAAUGGCUAGGAUGGUGCAGUUUAUGUUAUGUGUAUUUCAAUGAAAAUUUGGAAGAAAAUACGAAAAAGGAGGAAUGAGUGAGAACCAGUAUGGUUUGUGGGAGGAAUGUUAAGCAGGUGCUGCUGCUGAGAGUAAAAUGGGAAGCAGAAAGAGAGAGAGUGAGGCUGAGGGGAGAACAGAGACCAGGUUUAUUCAGUCUGGAGAUGUUCUUUCAGGCCAUGUGUUCUUCUAGGAAAGGGAGAUACUGUGGAGCUUAGAGGCUUGACCCCGGCCCUUAGGUCUUUGGGUCUUCUCGUUGAGGCAAGAAGGAGCCAUUGAUGGUGUUAAGCAGGAAAAGCAGCAAGAUCCGAUUUGCAUUUUAGGAUUAUUCCUCUGGCUGAAUGCAAAUGAGUUGGAGGGGGCGACAUGGAGGAGGGAGGCAGAGUCACUGGUAAUCAAAAAGUAGAUGAUAAAGGCCUGAACAGGGAGGAAGAUCUCCACACAGCCCUGGUUUCCCAAGGUACAGGGUUUUUCCAUGUUGCUCAGGCUGGUCUUGAACUCCCAACCUCAGGUGAUCCACCCCCCUUGGCCUCUCAUAGUGCUGGGAUUACAGGCAUGAGCCACCACGCCUGGUCAAUCAAAUGGCUUUAUAAAGAGGAGUUCUCCUGCACAAGUUCUCUUCUCCCUGCCACCAUGUAA
rnacentral:lncRNA from 1 species